GUGGCGCACGGGUGAGUAACACGUGAGCAAUCUGCCCUUGACUCUGGGAUAACUGCGGGAAACUGUAGCUAAUACCGGAUAUUACCUUGGAAGGCAUCUUCUGGGGUGGAAAGAAUUAUGGUCAAGGAUGAGCUCGCGGCCUAUCAGCUAGUUGGUGAGGUAAUGGCUCACCAAGUCGACGACGGGUAGCCGGCCUGAGAGGGUGACCGGCCACACUGGGACUGAGACACGGCCCAGACUCCUACGGGAGGCAGCAGUGGGGAAUAUUGCACAAUGGGCGCAAGCCUGAUGCAGCAACGCCGCGUGAGGGACGACGGCCUUCGGGUUGUAAACCUCUUUUAGUAGGGAAGAAGCGACUGGGUUUUCCUGGGAGUGACGGUACCUGCAGAAAAAGCACCGGCUAACUACGUGCCAGCAGCCGCGGUAAUACGUAGGGUGCAAGCGUUGUCCGGAAUUAUUGGGCGUAAAGAGCUCGUAGGCGGUUUGUCGCGUCUGCUGUGAAAACCCGAGGCUCAACCUCGGGCCUGCAGUGGGUACGGGCAGACUAGAGUGCGGUAGGGGAGAUUGGAAUUCCUGGUGUAGCGGUGGAAUGCGCAGAUAUCAGGAGGAACACCAAUGGCGAAGGCAGAUCUCUGGGCCGUAACUGACGCUGA
rnacentral:rRNA from 1 species